UUAAUAAUAAUGUUUGUUUGUUUGUUUAGGUGCAUACUCUGAGGAUGCAGAUCAUUUCUCAGAAUCAGGGAUUAUAAGUGAUCUUAUUAACAAUCAGAAGACACACCAGCCCCAAAGAGAACCAGAGUUCAUACACGGUAGUUUAACUGUUUUACUGCAAUAUUUAUGGUAGCACGACUACUCAGUGCUGACUAUGAGUUUGUAAUUUCCUUCAUCCGUUCCGGAAACAAUCGCUUGAAUUUUAAACUCUUAUACUUUUCUGUAACACUUACUAGUGUGAUACAUUUCAGUAAAUGCUCCUCAUUUGUAAAUGUAUUUAUUAAGAAUAUGUGACAGGUAGUAAACCGACCUACAAGAGGCUAUUCAAAUUUUACUUUUAGCUUUCUGCAGUUAAAGUGAAAGACAAACUCUAACAUCACUGCCUUUCCAGAAUUUGUUCUCGCAUCAUUGUGAAUGCUACUUUGCUUCAGUCUUUUUCCUGUUGUUGAAUUAACACUGAUCUUCUCAGUGCUUCAUGCUUUCUCCAAAAUAGUAAAAGCUGGUUAAAGUACA